rnacentral:rRNA from 1 species
GUCAAUUACGUGCCGGCGGCCGCGGUAAUUGGGUGGCUGCAAUGGUUGUUGGUGGUUACUGGGCUGAAAGGGUGUGUAGGCGGUUGUUUAAGUGUGGUGUGAAAUCUCCCGGCUAAACUGGGAGGGUGCGCCGAAUACUGAAUGACUCGAGUGCGGGAGAGGAGAGUGGAAUUCCUGGUGUAGCGGUGAAAUGCGUAGAUAUCAGGAGGAACACCGGCGGUGUAGACGGCUCUCUGGACCGUAACUGACGCUGAGACACGAAAGCGUGGGUAGCAAACAGGAUUAGAUACCCCUGUAGUC